GUACUCGUAGUUCAAAUUUGGUAGAAUACUCGGAUACGAACCGAGAGGUUAGAGGUUCAAAUCCUCUCGAGUGCA
rnacentral:tRNA from 1 species